CCUACGGGAGGCAGCAGUGAGGAAUAUUGGUCAAUGGGCGCGAGCCUGAACCAGCCAAGUAGCGUGAAGGAUGACUGCCCUACGGGUUGUAAACUUCUUUUAUAAAGGAAUAAAGUGUGGCACGUGUGCCCUUUUGUAUGUACUUUAUGAAUAAGGAUCGGCUAACUCCGUGCCCGCAGCCGCGGUAAUACGGAGGAUCCGAGCGUUAUCCGGAUUUAUUGGGUUUAAAGGGAGCGUAGGUGGGUUUUUAAGUCAGUUGUGAAAGUUUGCGGCUCAACCGUAGAAUUGCAAUUGAUACUGGCAGUCUUGAGUACAGUUGAGGUAGGCGGAAUUCGUGGUGUAGCGGUGAAAUGCUUAGAUAUCACGAAGAACCCCGAUUGCGAAGGCAGCUUACUGGACUGUAACUGACAUUGAUGCUCGAAAGUGUGGGUAUCAAACAGGAUUAGAUACCCUUGUAGUC
rnacentral:rRNA from 1 species